rnacentral:rRNA from 1 species
CACCCGUGAGAGGCGGCGGCUCAAGCGCAGAGUGCCAGUGUGAAACUGCUUGAGAUUGAAUAUAGGAGAGGAGGGUGGAACUCACAGAGUAGCGGUGGAAUGCGUAGAUACUGUGAGGUACCCCGAUGGCGAAGGCAACCCUCUGGCUGCUACUGACGCUGAAGCGCGAAAGCGUGGGGAGCAAAGGGGAUUAGAUACCCCCGUAGUCCACGCCGCAAACGAUGUUCACUUGGUGUCGGUCGCUGAUACAGAUCGGUGCCGGAGCUAACGUGUUAAGUGAACCGCCUGGGGAGUACGGCCGCAAGGCUAAAACUCAAGAGAAUUGACGGGGGCCCGCACAAGCGGUGGAGCACGUGGUUCAAUUCGAUGAUAAACGAAUAACCUCACCUGGGUUUGACAUGCUAGUAGUAGGAACCAGAAACGGGGACGACUUUCCCUUUCGAGGGAAGGAGCUAGCACAGGUGAUGCAUGGCUGUCGUCAGCUCGUGUCGUGGGACGUAGGGUUAAGUCCCGAAACGAGCGCAACCCCUGUCGUCAGUUGCCAGCGGGUAAUGCCGGGGACUCUGACGAGACUGCUGGUGAAUAGCCGGAGGAAGGAGGGGACGACGUCAAGUCAUCAUGUCCCUUAUGCCCAGGGCUACACACAUGCUACAAUGGGAGGUACAAUGGGUUGCGAAACCGUAAGGUGGAGCCAAUCUCAAAAAGCCUUCCUCAGUUCGGAUUGAGGUCUGUAACUCGACCUCAUGAAGUUGGAAUCGCUAGUAAUCGCAGGUCAGCUAUACUGCGGUGAAUAUGUACUCGGGCCUUGUACACACCGCCCGUCACACCAAUCGAGUGGGGGGUACCUGAAGUCGUUCUUCUGAGAGCGCCUAGGGUAACCUUCGUAAGAGGGGUG